rnacentral:lncRNA from 1 species
GGUAUCCACCUUCUCCAUCAUGGAGGAGGUCUCAGCUCCUAAUCCACUCGGCAAAGUCCCAGCGGACAGUGAGUCACUGAGUGCUGGGCCAGGCACAAGCUGAGCUCAGGGCCUCCAAGGCAAGGUGACCCAGAGGGCGCUGGGAAUAGGACAGCGUAGGUGCCCCCGCAGUGGGGGAUGUGGCUGGGUGUCUGUGAGGAUGCUUCCUGCAUGACAAGCUGGGGUUAUAAGAACACAAAAGCCUGUAGGAUGAAGCCUGGCCCAAAGCAGUCGGGGUCCCCUGACCUCCCCGGCCUCUCUCCAGGCAGUGUUCUCCCCAGGGCGCCAGGCUUCCCCAGCUCCAAGUCUGGGCGUCUGAAAUCUGCUGUGUAAUUGGAUCACGCCCGGCCCGUGCUGAGCGCCCAUCUGCGCCCGUCUUGGAAAACACAAGUCUCAGAGAAGGAAAGCAGUUGCCACAGUGUUCAGCUUAACCAAGUCAUCUUAUUUGAUAUGUGAAAGUUCUUCGAGAUGGAAGAAUCUCAGCUCAUCACUGCGAAGGCAUGCCAGGAUUAGGAAGUCAUCAGAUGCAAGCCUGCAAGCCUCAGUGUACUCCUCAAUGUCUGCAGGGCCCACCCCAGAGAGAGGCCCCUGGGUGACCAGCCGGUGAGGAGCUUCAAGAGGAAGGAUUCACCAUCACCACCUGGAUCCUGUGUGCAGCUUUUGUCACAGCGGUGGCGAGCACAGUUUCUGCCUCCUGGGGAGAUGGGGUGUGAAGCUCACAGCACCUGCGUGUGGCUGGGCCCAACAUUAACAGCGCUGCAAGAGCUCACCUCCAUUUAUAGGAAGUGGGAAGGACCCAAGGACUGGCCGAUGACACCACAGGAGGCAGAAGGCACAUCGGGGGUUGGGGGUAGCCUAUGGCCAACCUACCCUGUCCCUCUAACAACCUACCCUGUCCCUAUAACACGUUGCUGGCAGGAAACACGGGAGAUGGCUCAGACUGGAGACCUGGGGACAUAUCUACCAAGUGCCACGUGGGUCCUGGGUCAAAGUCACCACCGUGAAAAGACAUUUCUGAGAUAAUUUGGGACAUGUGCUAAUGGAGGGGUUUCAGAUUCCACCCAGAGACCACUGCUGGGUGCGUGGAUGGGACAGUGACACUGGGGCCCGCAAGAAAGAUCCCAUGCUGUGAGAGACAGACUGAAGGGGAAGAGGGAGUGACGCGAUGCCUGGGAUUUGCUGAAGAAAAAAAAAAGAAUAAAAAGGUCCGUCUGUAUAUGGAUGGCAAGAAUUUCUUGGUAACAAAAGCACAGCCAAUAAAAGAAAAAAUAAAUACUAAGGUCGAUGAAAAUUUAAAACUUUUGUGCAUCAAAGGGCACCAUCAACAGAGCAAAAAGGCAGCUAAAGAAUGGGAGGAAAUAUUUGCAAAUCAUGUAUCUGGUAAGGGGUUAGUAUCCAGAAUGUGCAGAAAACUCUUACAACUCAACAACAGAAACAAAAAUCUAAUUUAAAAAUGGGCAAACUGGCCAGGUGAGGUGGCUCAUGCCUGUAAUCCCAGCACUUUGGGAGGCCGAGGUGGGCGGAUCACUUGAGGUCAGGAGUUCGAGACCAGACUGGCCAACAUGGCAAAACCCCAUCUCCACUAAAAUUUCAAAAAUUAGCCAGGUGUGAUGGCACGUCCCUGUAACCCCAGUUACUCGGGAGGCUGAGGCAGAAGAAUUGCUGGAACCCAGGAGGCAAAGGUCGCAGUGAGGUGAGAUCACGCCACUGCACUCUAGCCUGGGUGACAGAGUGAGACUCCGUCUCAUAAAUAAAUAAAUAAAAAUGGGUAAAGGACUUGAAUAGACAUUUCUCCAAAGAAGAGAUACAAAUGGCUGAUAAGGACUUUUCUGAAAAGAUGUUCAACACCACUAAUCAAUUAGAGAAAGGCAAAUCCAAACUACAACGGGACACCAUCUCACACCUGUUAGGAUGGCCACGAUCCUAAAACAGAAAGUAAUGACGCUGGUGAGUAUGUGGGGAAACUGGAGCCCUUGGGCACCGCUGGCAGGAAGGUAAAGUGGUGCAGCCCCUGUGGAACAUGGCAUGGCUGCUCCUCAAAACCUUAAACACAGAACGAGCACGUGAGCCAGCAAUGCCACUUCUGCAUCUAUGCCCGAAGGCAUUGACAGCGGGGUCUUGAAGAGAUAUCUGCACACCCGCGUUCACGGUGGCAGCACUAUUCAUGGUAGCUAAGAGGUGGACGCAACCUAAGUGUCCACCUACAGAUGAACAGACACACAAAAGGUGGUGUUUCCGUAGAGUUGGGAUAGUUAUCAUUCAGGCUUAAACCAGAAGGAGAUUCUGAUGCAUGCUACAACACGGAGGAACCUCGAAGGUAUUACACUGAGUGAAAUGUACCAAGCACAAAAAGAUAAAUACUGCAGGAUUCCACUGACCUGAGGUCCCUAGAGUGGUCAAAUUCAUAGGGAGAGAAAGUGGGAUGGUGGGUGCCAGGGGCCGGGGGAGGGGAUGGGGAUGAGUGUUAAUAGGGAAGAGUUUCAGUUUGGGAAGAUGAGAAGGUUCUGGAGAUGGAUGGUGGUGAUGGUGAAUGGAAAUGUACUUAAUGCCACUGAAAUGUAUACUUAAAAAUGGUUAAGAUGGUAAAUUUUACGGUAUGUGCACUGUACUACAAUUUUA